rnacentral:rRNA from 1 species
AACGAACGCUGGCGGCAUGCCUAACACAUGCAAGUCGAACGAGCCCUUCGGGUCUAGUGGCGCCCGGGUGCGUAACGCGUGGGAACCUGCCCUUAGGUUCGGAAUAACUCCCCGAAAGGGGUGCUAAUACCGGAUAAUGUCUUCGGACCAAAGAUUUAUCGCCUUUGGAUGGGCCCGCGUUGGAUUAGCUAGUUGGUAGGGUAAAAGCCUACCAAGGCGACGAUCCAUAGCUGGUCAGAGAGGAUGAUCAGCCACACCGAGACUGAGACACGGCCCAGACUCCUACGGGAGGCAGCAGUGGGGAAUAGUGGACAAUGGGCGGAAGCCUGAUCCAGCAAUGCCGCGUGAAUGAUGAAGGCCUUAGGGUUGUAAAGCGCUUUUACCCGGGAUGAUAAUGACAGUACCGGGAGAAUAAGCCCCGGCUAACUCCGUG